rnacentral:lncRNA from 1 species
AUGUUGAGCUUGACGUGGUCCAUCGGUGUUGGCUCUGGUGUCUCCUUCGUUUUUGGUUUCCCUCUUACCCUCGCCCUCGCCUCCUACGCCUUCUUUUGCCCGAUUGGACUAGGUUGAUGACAAGGUCAUUAGACCACCCAUGUGCCAAUGGGACUUCAAAUGCUUGGUGCUUGUAGGUACGACUGUCACACCCCGACCCGUAGCGGAAAUAGGUGAUCGGGGCAUGAUCGGGUUAACU